rnacentral:lncRNA from 1 species
GCUUUGCCUGGCUUUCUUUUGGAUCACUUGUUCUGGAAGAAGCCAGCUGCCAUGCUGUAAGGACACUCAAGCCGUUUCCCCACGUGGGAACAGCCAACAUCAACUUGCUAGCCAUACAAGUGAGGCAUCUUGGGAGCAGAUCUUCUAGUCCCCAUGAAGCCUUUCGAAGACUACAGCCCUGCUAACUUUUUCACUGCAACCUCAUGAGACAUCACAGCCACCACCGAGCCGUCCCCACCGAGGAGAGGGGAGACAGGGAGGCAGUGAGCAAACGACGCUGCCCUCAGGAGCCACAGUUCUUCACCUUCUGCUCUGUGACGGCCUGGAGAGCGGGGCCAGCAGAGCGGGGCCAGCAUUCCCAACAGGCCUUUCCAGCCAACACGGAAAGGAACCAAGGAGCCAGCCAGAGGACAAGCUCUUUCCGCCAUUUCCUGGUCUGCUGUACUGCUCCUUCCUUCCAAAGGAGGCAGCCUGCGAAAUUGGAGAGUAGGACAGGAAGAAGAAAGGAGAAGAGGUGGAGAAUUGAAAGCUCAACUCUUUUCCUUAAGUGAAUAAACAUUUUUGAGAAAG